rnacentral:lncRNA from 1 species
CUAUUUCUCAACGUGAUAGCACUUAUAUUUUGCUUUAGAUCAACCUCAGUUUGAGAUAAAGUUUGCCUUGGGAUUCCAACUUACUCAAAGAUGUUGCUAAUUGGCUCACUUGGGUAUCCAAAAUUUGGAUGUUUGCUCUUAUCUCCUAUUGAAAUUAUUGGGUAUUAGUAGCAAGUGAUUUAAUAAUUUUUUCAAGAGACAUACCUUAUUUCGAAGGAACUGGUUGUUGAUGUAGAGGUGGUCUUGGCUGAUAUUGUUUGAAAUUUUGUUGCCUUACUCUAUAACUAAAGUUAGGAUGAUCUCUC